CUGGGAUCUGUCAGAGAGGAGGUUCGCUAAGUGCUGCAUCAGGGGGGCUGUGCUGGAGAGAAGUGACAAAGUGCAAGCUGCUUUCCAUAUUGGAAGAGAAGGUUCUAGGUCUGGAGAAACAAGUAUCAACCGUGCGUUGCCUACGAGAAAAUGAAGAUUUCCUGGACAGACGUCAGGAUAUGCUUGUACGGGCACAACGUUCUGAAGAUUCAGAGCAGGCUGCCCAGAGUGGACAGAGGGACGGUGAAGAAAUUUGGCAGCAUGUGACCUCCAGAAGAAGAAAGAGAAGCGUCCAUGUACCAGCAAUGGAGAUACAGCUACGGGUUGCUCUGCAGAAACAUCUUCCUGAGCAUCUUUCUGGGUUUCAGUUGAGUCUAGAACGACUUCUGAGACAACUGACAUAUCCUCAAUCAUCAGAAGCUGAGAGACACAUUCUGUCUGCUCCUCAGAGAGAAGAUUGGAGACAAACUCUU